rnacentral:lncRNA from 1 species
UGACAUUGCUGGCUUUUUGAGACCUCAUUCUCAUUAUUACCAAUUUUCUCUUUUGUUCCAUGAUCUCCACCACCAUCGCUGUCAUCCAUCAUAUCUACAUCUCCAUUCGCAUCAUCAUUAACCUGCUUUGAGAUUUCCUCAACCUCCACAUCCAGAUCAUAAUGCAAUCCAUCAUAUGACCAUGGAACAAAGUGUGGCAAGAACUCGGGAUCAAGCACACCAACAAACAACCUCGCAAUCCCGUGUUUGCGGGUGAAUGGCAUAUCGACCUUAUCC